AGUCAGUCUAUCAGUCAGUCAGUCAGUCAGUCAGUCUAUCAGUCAGUCAGUCUAUCAGUCAGUGUGUCAGUCAGUCAGUCUAUCAGUCAGUCAGUCAGUCAGUGUGUCAGUCAGUCUAGUCAGUCUAUCAGUCAGUCAGUCAGUCAGUAUAUCAGUCAGUCUAUCAGUCAGUCAGUCUAUCAGUCAGUCAGUCAGUAUAUCAGUCAGUGUGUCAGUCAGUCAGUCAGUCUAUCAGUCAGUGUGUCAGUCUAUCAGUCAGUCAGUGUGUAAGUCAGUCAGUGUGUCAGUCAGUCAGUAUAUCAGUCAGUCAGUAUAUCAGUCAGUCAGUGUGUCAGUCAGUCAGUAUAUCAGUCAGUCUAUCAGUCAGUCAGUGUGUCAGUCAGUCAGUGUGUCAGUCAGUCUAUCAGUCAGUCAGUGUGUCAAUCAGUCAGUAUAUCAGUCAGUGUGUCAGUCAGUGUGUCAGUCAGUCAGUAUAUCAGUCAGUCAGUGUGUCAGUCAGUCAGUGUGUCAGUCAGUCAGUCAGUGUGUCAGUCAGUCAGUCAGUCUAUCAGUCAGUGUGUCAGUCAGUCAGUCAGUCAGUCUAUCAGUCAGUGUGUCAGUCAGUCU
rnacentral:lncRNA from 1 species